CAGCCGCCGCGGUAAUACGAAGGUCCCGAGCGUUGUUCGGAAUCACUGGGCGUAAAGGGAGCGUAGGCGGCGUGGUAAGUCAGAUGUGAAAUCCCGGGGCUCAACCCCGGAACUGCAUCCGAUACUGCCAUGCUAGAGGAUUGGAGAGGUAGCUGGAAUUCUUGGUGUAGCAGUGAAAUGCGUGGAGAUCAAGAGGAACACUCGUGGCGAAAGCGAGCUACUGGACAAUAACUGACGCUGAGGCUCGAAGGCCAGGGUAGCGAAAGGGAUUAGAUACCCCUGUAGUCCCUGUCUCUUAUAC
rnacentral:rRNA from 1 species